rnacentral:lncRNA from 1 species
GGACAUAAUGGCCAUAGUAGUGAUGCCAGCAGUCAACACAGAUUCAAAACUUGGGCUCUGUGUGUGUGUGUGUGCGUGUGCGUGUGCGUGUGCGUGCGUGUGUGUGUGUGUGUGUGUGUGUGUGUGUGUGUGUGUGUGUGUGUGUGUGUGUGUGUGUGUGUGUGUGUGUGUGUGUGUGUGUGUGUGUGUGUGUAUGAAAACAAAAGCAAAAGAAUCAUCCGCCCCGAUAAACUAUUGUAUUAAAUUGUGUCGUGAGAACACAAGCUUAAACAUCAGCAGUGGCAUCAGUGACAGCAGGUGGUACAGAUUUCUGAAGACAUGAUGGAGACUACAACGAAAAAAAUGUUCGAUUUCUGUGAGGAGUAUACUGCAUCCCGUGGUAUUGAUGUCAAUAAGGGAGAGGAAAUAAAGACAGCAAUGAGAAGUGCUUUGCAUUACUAUGAAGGAACUACUAAAUCCUUUGGUUUUAUAGCCUUUAUUCAAAAGGUUUGGGAUGGCAUUAUGACUGGCUUUUGCUUCCUAUUUAAUUGGUUGACAGCUGCAAUUGGUUGGAUCGUCUCUGGUAUCACAAGCUUCGUCAGCUGUAAGUAUUUGAACAACCUCAUCAAACAUUAUGACAUGGAACGUCUUUUUAAAGUUGUUGGAUUAGAACACUGUGCAUAUUAAUUCAAAGGCUGGUUAUAUGGAAGAAUCCAACAUAACAUAUACUGUAUCUACAGGAUGAUGAAGAGUUUUAGUAAAACAUUUUCUGUGACGAUUAAAAAGCAUAGACAUAAAACACACUCCAUAUCAUGAAUAUACUACUGCUAUAUGCUGCUGCUAUAUCAUUAAAAUGGCAUGUCCUAACUUCCCACAUAUAUAGCUAUCAGUUUCACCAUAGUAAAGUCAUCCUAGUCUAAUGAUACGCUUAAUAAAACAUACCCAAUUUACUGAUUAUAAUACA